AUUUUCCGGUGCUCUGUUUUCGGGUGACAGACGGGCGAAGUGACAGGGAGCACUUGCGAAUUCAAUUUCUGCGUUUGUUUCAUUUUAUUUUCUAUUUAGCUUAUCCGGUCGCCUGGGUGACAGGCAGAAGACGAGAUUAAUCUUUUUUUUCUGCCUUAUUUAUCGCUUUUCCAUUAAUUUUUCGUUCCAUUUUCUUACCCCGACGAUACUCUGUUCUCGGGUGACAGACAGGGCCUGGUUCGUGCAUUUAUUUUAUUUUUUUGAAUUCUUCUAAUUGACAUUAUUUUUCCUCAACAAUUUUAAUUUGAUUACGAUCAUUCUUUGACAUUUAUUUUUUUAUAUAUUGCACAUUUUCCAUAAGGAUUCGAACCGAAAUUGUUUUCUCAGUUUUUUCAUAAUCGAAAUUCUUUUCACAAGGAUUCCUGUCAGAGACUCUCUACGACACAAUUUUUGGUUCACAAGUAUAAGGUUUUUGACUAAACCCUAUCAAAAAUAUAUUCAAAUACAGUUAACAACACUCAAUAAACUGCAACUUCACCAUAUGUGCUGUGUUGAAUGUCUUUAGCUAGUGGAGAUUUAGGGUCCUUUUGUUCAUUUAGGAAAAAUAACAAAUGAACUUCAAAGAAUAUGAGGAAAUAUUACUCUGUACGAGGAGAACCAUUCAAGUUCUAUUAAACCUCAAUUAAUCGUAUAAUUCUUCGCUAUCUUGCCAUCACCUAAUGUUUUAAACUAUAUCAUGUCUUAACUUAAAUCCAAAAAUUAAAAGAAUUCCAUCUGACUUUUCACUUUGAUAAAAUUUUCAUCACCAUUAAAAGAGCAAGAUUCUACAUUAAGGUUUUGAAACACUAGGAACUUUCAAGUUUAAC
rnacentral:lncRNA from 1 species